rnacentral:rRNA from 1 species
GUCCAUGCCGUAAACGUUGGGCGCUAGAUGUGGGGACCAUUCCACGGUUUCCGUGUCGUAGCUAACGCAUUAAGCGCCCCGCCUGGGGAGUACGGCCGCAAGGCUAAAACUCAAAGGAAUUGACGGGGGCCCGCACAAGCGGCGGAGCAUGCGGAUUAAUUCGAUGCAACGCGAAGAACCUUACCAAGGCUUGACAUAUACCGGAAACGUUCAGAAAUGUUCGCCCCGCAAGGUCGGUAUACAGGUGGUGCAUGGUUGUCGU